GAACGCUGGCGGCGUGCUUAACACAUGCAAGUCGAACGAUGAAAGAGGAGCUUGCUCCUCUGGAUUAGUGGCGAACGGGUGAGUAACACGUGAGCAAUGUGCCCUUGACUCUGGAAUAAGCGCUGGAAACGGCGUCUAAUACCGGAUACGACCUUCGGAGGCAUCUCCUGGGGGUGGAAAGAAUUUCGGUCAAGGAUCAGCUCACGGCCUAUCAGUUAGUUGGUGAGGUAACGGCUCACCAAGACGACGACGGGUAGCCGGCCUGAGAGGGUGACCGGCCACACUGGGACUGAGACACGGCCCAGACUCCUACGGGAGGCAGCAGUGGGGAAUAUUGCACAAUGGGCGCAAGCCUGAUGCAGCAACGCCGCGUGAGGGACGACGGCCUUCGGGUUGUAAACCUCUUUUAGCAGGGAAGAAGCGAAAGUGACGGUACCUGCAGAAAAAGCACCGGCUAACUACGUGCCAGCAGCCGCGGUAAUACGUAGGGUGCAAGCGUUGUCCGGAAUUAUUGGGCGUAAAGAGCUCGUAGGCGGUUUGUCACGUCUGCUGUGAAAUCCCGAGGCUCAACCUCGGGCUUGCAGUGGGUACGGGCAGACUAGAGUGCGGUAGGGGAGAUUGGAAUUCCUGGUGUAGCGGUGGAAUGCGCAGAUAUCAGGAGGAACACCGAUGGCGAAGGCAGAUCUCUGGGCCGUUACUGACGCUGAGGAGCGAAAGCAUGGGGAGCAAACAGGCUUAGAUACCCUGGUAGUCCAUGCCGUAAACGUUGGGAACUAGAUGUGGGGACCA
rnacentral:rRNA from 1 species